ACUGACGCUGAGAAAGCAAGUGUGAAAGGCAUUCCCAACAUUUCAUCUCUGAACAUUUCAUCUUUGGGUUCAGCCCUGAUGGAUUGCGAGUAUGGAAGGCAUACAAUAUUGGGCCAGGAAAAUUAUUACCAUGGACAACUACAACUGUGCCAUUUAUGCAGUUAAAAGUCAUCAAGACUUGGAAAAAUGAAAUAAAUCCUGCUGUUCUUUCUCCAGAUGAUGAGAUCGAGACUACAGAAAGAAAUGAAUUCUCCGAGACGGUACCAAAAAAAGGAAAACGGUAGAUCAUGUGUUUAGUUGUGCCAAUAUUAAUGAGAACUGCGACGGAUCAUUUCGUUCCUUAACAUCUCUGGACAAUCACAAUCUCCUAGGUAACUGUAGUGACAGAUCAGAGAGAAACCUUAUAGAUAGGUGCAACAUUAUAUAUCAAAACAAGUUGUCAGCUUUGAAUACAACUUGUCCAUCAUAUGAUGAAGGCAUCAUAACAGCGGAAUGAACAGAGCCAAUCAAACCAACUGGAUGGGCAUUGAAAACGAAAAAGCCUAACUAAAGGUUUUGUUUACUGAAGACCAAAAAGAAUACCUUACCGCAAUAUUCAAGACAGGCAAAAUUACUGGAAAAAAGGAGGAUCCAAGUAAAGUGGCGAAAGACACGCAUAUAUACUUGUAAAUGGAAAAAGCGUUUCAGAAUGGAGGAUUACUUAACAAAAAUACAAGUAGCAAUUUUUUUAAAACUCUCUCAGAAAGACAGAAAAUGUGAUG